CGUUUGGGUGUUGCAUUCAAUGUUUAUCUAUUAUGUUUGCACUUUUUAUUGUGGGAUGGACCUACCAGAUCACAUAAACACAAUUCUUAUAUGACAAAGUUAUCAAAAAUUAGACUUGAAUUGUCUAAAAAAUAAUUAAUCUGUACUACUGUAUGCCCAAAGUGAUUCUCAGAAGAUGAUAAAAAUUGACAUAAUGGCCUUGAUGAAUGAAUCGCAUAAAUUAUGUUAAUGUAGAUGACAAGUAAAACAUUGGUGCUCGCGCAACGUCUGUAAUUAGUGGACAAAUAUUCCAACAACGAUGUUUUAAUUGUGGUCCACUACAUUGUUGCUAAGUUUCCACACUAAAGAAACUUUUAAAGUACCCUUUUGCCGAAAUAUACGCCCUUGGCUGUGAAGAGAGAGGAUAUCCGGCCCACCGCCAUAUUUACUAACCGGAAGAUGUACUAUUUCACUACAUCGCUAGAUGUCGCUGUUCAUGUUGCUCUUGGAAGCCCCCGGAUGUACUAGAGGGCAUGUAUGGGGGUGAUAGUGAUUACGGAUUACGCAAAAUUUUCGCCACCGAUUACGAAUUAAGUAAAAUUCUCAGAGCUAUUAAAACUUUAUGCAUUAAGGCUAAUAUAAUAUUACGAAUUUCAUUGAUUUGGAGGGCGACUGCCAACGGAUUACGAAGACUAAAAUGGUCCGAUUACGCCUCAGGAAAAAGGGCAUGCAGGCUCCUACAACGAGCAUUCCAGCUCUCAGAUGUGUCUUUGGCAUUUGGAUACCACAAAGCAAUCAACCUAUGCCACCAUUCACUCAAUACCAGCCUGUGCCACCGUGCACUCAAUACCAGCCUGUGCCACCGUGCACUCAAUACUAAUGUGCCAUUGUGCAGAACUUGCAGAUUGUAUACUGGAUGAGUCCCUGUCUCACGAGUGAAUUAUUAAAACCAGAAACUGUAUCUUGCCCUGAAACCAAAUAUUCAAUAAACAAUCUGAACACAUA